GAUGAACGCUGGCGGCGUGCCUAAUACAUGCAAGUCGAGCGAACGGACGAGAAGCUUGCUUCUCUGAUGUUAGCGGCGGACGGGUGAGUAACACGUGGAUAACCUACCUAUAAGACUGGGAUAACUUCGGGAAACCGGAGCUAAUACCGGAUGAUAUUUUGAACCGCAUGGUUCAAAAGUGAAAGACGGUCUUGCUGUCACUUAUAGAUGGAUCCGCGCUGCAUUAGCUAGUUGGUAAGGUAACGGCUUACCAAGGCAACGAUGCAUAGCCGACCUGGGAGGGUGGUCGGCCACGCUGGAACUGAGACACGGUCCAGACUCCUACGGGAGGCAGCAGUAGGGAAUCUUCCGCAAUGGGCGAAAGCCUGACGGAGCAACGCCGCGUGAGUGAUGAAGGUCUUCGGAUCGUAAAACUCUGUUAUUAGGGAAGAACAUAUGUGUAAGUAACUGUGCACAUCUUGACGGUACCUAAUCAGAAAGCCACGGCUAACUACGUG
rnacentral:rRNA from 1 species